rnacentral:rRNA from 1 species
UACGUAGGGGGGCAAGCGUUGUCCGGAUUUAUUGGGCGUAAAGAGCGUGUAGGCGGCCAGACAGGUCCGUUGUGAAAACUGGAGGCUUAACCUUCAGACGUCGAUGGAAACCGUCUGGCUAGAGUCCGGAAGAGGAGAGUGGAAUUCCCCGGUGUAGCGGUGAAAUGCGCAGAUAUCGGGAGGAGCACCAAUGGCGAAGGCAGCUCGCUGGGACGGUACUGACGCUGAGACGCGAAAGCGUGGGGAGCAAACAGG